GUUUUGGACCCGUGUCUGUCGAUAGUUCCCCCGACUCCUCGUGUGGUCGACUAUCGACGCCGUGUCCCGUCAUUCGUGUGGCUUACGCCGCUGUUUCCUUUUGAAGUGCUUGCGUGCCGGUACCCGGCCUACGGGAAUUGGUGUGUUUCGUACAUGGUUGCCUCGCGGUGGACGCCUUCGGGUGUUCUGCUGCGGCCAAGUGGCUCUUGCGGCGUUGCCUCGUGGUGCUGGCACGAUUGCGUGUCCGGUGCUACCAGGGCAGCCUCGCUCGUGCUGUUGGUUUCGGAUGUUGCUCACGAUAAAGGCUCACUCUAAAGGCGCAUGGCACUUUUUGAUGGCAAAUCCUGACCCGAUAAAGCUCCCUGACCCCGAACGUGUCGUAGAACGAUGUGUUGCCUCUGCCUCUCCACAGUUAGUGGUAGGAUACGCAACAUGCUGGACCGAUGCUAGUAGAUGUAGGGGAUCUUUGUCGGUUUUGGAAGUUGCUGACUUAAAUGGCUUAUGUCUCUUAUGGUUGCCUAGACCCUUCGAAGCUCCCUCAACCCGAAACAAGUGUCGUAGAACGAUGUGCUGCCUCUACCUCUCCACAGUUAGUGGUAGGAUACGCAGCAUGCUGGGCCGAUGCAGUAGGCGCAGGGGAGCUUGGCUCGCUCAAUUGCGACAACCGGCCCGGCCGUUGUCUGCCUUCACGGGUGGACGACUGUCGACGCUGGACGUCAAAGAGGACGUGCU
rnacentral:misc_RNA from 1 species